AGUCCAGCGGCAGGGGCCACCAGCGCAGGCUCUCCUCCUCACAGAAGCCGGCUAAUGGAGGCGGUGCAAUAAUCGCAGAAAGGAAAGGCUGAUGAAAGAUUUAGGGGGCGACCCAAAGGGAAAGGCAUGUGUGUGAAGGAGCAGUUGGCAGAGUGGGAUUUCAUCCCCUGUUCCCGCAUCUGUCUGUGGAGGAGCUGGUCAUCCAAGAAGAAGCAGCCUCGUUUGUUUCGGGUGUCAUCGUAGGUGUCCACCUUUGGCUUUGGGGGAACAGCCAGGUCUUGCUUACUCCUGCCUUGGGAAGUCCUUCCCAAUGUCUAACCAAGAUCUGUACCGCUGAAGUACCAGUUCUUUGACCCUCGGCUUGACAUGGCUAAUUUGAGAGACCAAAAAGAAGAACCUACUUCACCCACUUGUCCUGGGUUCCCUCUGAGACGCUGUCUUGAUUGACUGAAAGAUGAGGCUAAACUCUAGCAAGUUGAGUGGCUCCUCCCAGAAUCCUUUAAGCAGGAUAGAAGUGGGGAGGCCCCAGCCUCCAGCCUGGGCAGCCCUUUAGACUGGAGCCGCCUGGCAAAGACUUUAUUUCAUCAUUGCUCCAGUGUCUGCAAGCUGUCCAUCCUGGCCAGCCCUGGUUUCCCCUGUGUCGUCUGAACUGAGAAUCUUCUGAGAUGGAAGUCCCAUCUCAUGCCUAAUAAAGACUCUCAAAUAUUGA
rnacentral:lncRNA from 1 species